UAGGCGCUUAACAAAUACUCACA
rnacentral:miRNA from 1 species